GCCUGGGUGGCUCAGUUGGUUAAGUGUCUGACUUUGGCUCAGGUCAUGAUCUCACGAUUUGUGAGUUCAAGCCCCGCAUCAGGCU
rnacentral:tRNA from 1 species